rnacentral:rRNA from 1 species
AUUGAACGCUGGCGGCAUGCCUUACACAUGCAAGUCGAACGGCAGCACGGGUGCUUGCACCUGGUGGCGAGUGGCGAACGGGUGAGUAAUACAUCGGAACGUACCUUAUCGUGGGGGAUAACGCAGCGAAAGCUGUGCUAAUACCGCAUACGCCCUGAGGGGGAAAGCGGGGGAUCGCAAGACCUCGCGCGAUUAGAGCGGCCGAUGCCUGAUUAGCUUGUUGGUGGGGUAAAAGCCCACCAAGGCGACGAUCAGUAGCUGGUCUGAGAGGACGAUCAGCCACACUGGGACUGAGACACGGCCCAGACUCCUACGGGAGGCAGCAGUGGGGAAUUUUGGACAAUGGGGGCAACCCUGAUCCAGCAAUGCCGCGUGAGUGAAGAAGGCCUUCGGGUUGUAAAGCUCUUUUGUCAGGGAAGAAACACCGGCUCUAACACAGUCUGGGAAUGACGGUACCUGAAGAAUAAGCACCGGCUAACUACGUGCCAGCAGCCGCAGUAA